CUGCAUUUAAUCUCCGGUUUGAUGUUUGAGGGAGAACCCGAUGUCAGCUCAGUUAAUUGUCUGCUAAAGACUCUGCUCCUUCCCUGCUUUCGUGCUAGAUUCACCUUUUCUCCUUUCCUUUCUGCAAUGCCCCCAGGUAAAAGACAAAUGGCAACACAUAAAAAAUGACCCGAGUCCCUUAAUUUGAACCAGAGGAGACAAUAACAGUCUGGAGGUAGAGCUGGAUUUAUCUUUUCUCUCCGAUGGAGGCCCCUCCUCCGGCGAUGGCUGUGGGACGGUGUGAGCAGCAUCUGAAGCAAAUUGAGGACCCACCUGGGAGCCUGCUUGCCAGAAGGAGAAAUGGCACAAGAGGAAAUACAUCUUCACAGCCUCGAGAGAGGAGAAGGUUGGAAUCUGAGUCCAUAAACAGCGUUGCUGUGCAGUGAGCAAAGACAGAGCAGGUUGGGCUCUGGAGAGUGUAACCCCACCUCUGCUGCUCCACUGCCAAUUCAAAAUACAGAAGUGGAACUUGUUUUUGUUUGUUUUUCCCUCUCAGACUGGGGAUGCCAUGCAAGGAAAAGCCCUUUCACAGAUUUUUGUCUUGGGGACCUCCUGGGACAAGCAAUGGCUCUGACCUGGUCUGGCUCGCUGGGACCUGCCAAGAUGCACUGUGUAAAAUUCCCAUUUCUGCCCCAAACCAUCAGCCCAAAGCCAUGAACGUGGCCACCAGUGCAUGACCCCAUGUCCUUGUCCCUGGCUCUGUUCUCCUCCUGUCACUGCCCUGCCUCUCCCGCUGCCUGCUGGCAGGGAGCUUCAGCCUCAAUCAGGCAGCGCUGCAGAGGGUUUAACUUUGAUUUAAACAGGUUUUCUGUGCCUUUGCAGAAGGCAGGUCAGAGCAGUGGUUACUGAGGGGUGGCAGUGAGGGCUGUAAAGCUGCUUCCUGCAGUGCAUUUCCUCUGAGCAUGGUCACAGUGUCCCUGCUGACAGCUCAGAAAACGUGGAAAAACCGAUCUGACACACUCUGGUGCUUUAUUUCAUAGUGCUCAGUGCCUGAUGUUGAUUGAAGCUCCUUCCCAGUGCUGCUAAUGCUGACACCUGGUAAGCCAGGGCUGUCCCCAGCAGUGCGUUACACGAGCACAGAGCAUCAUUUAUGCUCCCACCUCACUAGAGAGCACAGGGCAUUUUUGUGUUGCUGAAACUGCCAGGAUCACCUGUGCGUUGGUCAGGGCCAGCCCUGGGAUGAUGGAUAUGACCCGGGCAGGGAGGAAGCGCUGCUGGGCUCCCACAGCCCAUCCCCACAGCCCUCACCCUCCUGCCCCAACACAACUUUCAUCCCUUCACCUUUUUUUUCCAACUCACUGAGCAACAACUGUCAUGUUUAUACUCUUCCCCCCCAGUCCUGCUCUGCUUCAAGGAUUAAGCUUUCAUCCUUCAUUAUGAGCUUCU
ensembl:lncRNA